AAAAUUGAAAAUUUAGAUUUUAAAUUUGAAACUGAAAAUAUAAAUUUAGAAUUAAAAAUUCAAAUUAUAAAUUUUACAAAAUUUAAAAUUUAUAGUUAAAAUUAAGAUAUAAAAUUUUAAAUUUUGUGCAAAUUAAAAAUCUAAAUUUAAAAUCAAAUUUAAAUUUUAAUUUAAAAAUUUUAAAUUAUUUUAAAGUAAAAUUUAGUAAAAAAAAUAAUUAUUUGCAAACAACAAGAAAUUUUUGGGAAGCAGUUUUACAAACAAAAUAGUUUCAGAAUAAUCGCUCUCCAUUUAAACUCAACCAAAUGCUCUAUAAUUUUUAACGAAAAUCAAUUCUCCAAAUCAAAUCAAUUAGAAAAAAAAAUACUUUUUUACAGUCUAGCUAGGUCAAAUGAGCCUAAAAUCAAUUAUAUAAAAAUUACUUCUCCAACGGAUAGGCUCUGAAUAACCUAUUACAAACGUGUGAAAGGUAAAAAUCCGAAAAGAGCCUUCAUAUAUUACAGUGCACGUUGCCAAACUGUCUCGUAUAAAAUUGUAUAAUAGUAUUUUAGUAAGUAUUCCAUUCAACAGCAGUUUUUAUGAAAAGCUAAUGUAUUACUCUUUAUAUCACAAGGUAUGAGGCUUCGUACGUAGAAGUCUGCCCCAUAAAAAUCAAAUGAAAUGUAAGAAUGUGGUGUUCAACAAGUAGUCGGCGAUGAUUCGGCUCAUCUUCUCGGUUGGGUGGACCGCAUCCCAGAAAGCAUAUUUGGUUGCAUCCGUGCACGUGAAAGGGCUCCACUGGUUGCACAGAAAGCCCAUCUCGAACAACCCAGUAGCGCAACAUCCAACCUCCACGUUCUCAAACCCUACAAUUAACCAUCCAUCCAUCCAUCCAUCCAUCCAUCCAUUUGAAUAAUUAAUUAAUGAUGAUAAUUAAUUAUUAAUAUUACUACCUUAAUUAAUUAGGAUAUAUCAUAUAUAAUGAACACGGUCAUAUAUGGCAUAAUUAAUUAAGCUUUAAGUAUUCCCGUCAUAAUUAUGAUUAUAAUUAAUUAAGCAUCAUCUUAAUCAGUACUUUUUACUAUCUGUAGGUAAAGCUGUACAGGGAACACCCUCCGCAUGCAACAAACCAUUUCGACAUAUAAUAAUGCUUUCACUUCGAUUGACAUCUGCCUCAACUUUCAAUUCUUUAUCAUGUUUGAAUUAUUUUUGAAAUUGAGAUCAUAUUCUUGUUAAUUUAACUGUCGAAACACUAAUUUCAAGCGAAGACGCCGUGCAUAUUUUCGUUUUUUUUAUAUGGAGCAUUCAAUCUUGACGAAUUUCUAAUUCAAUUCAAAAAAAUUAAGUAAUUCAAUUAAAACAAUUAAAAGUUGAGGUACAAUCAUUGGAAAGAAAAAUGUAUGGUUGAGGCAGCAAUUUUGAAAUGGUCUGUAGCGGCGGAGUCUCCAUAUAUACAUUUUGCUGUUCAGUUCACAUAUUCCUGUGAGGCUAGCUACUUUGCAGAAACAUAUCACUUUGUUUGUUUCGAGAAAAUUGGGCUUAGCCUACUUAUAAAUUCUCUUACUUAAUUUGUUGUGUGAUCUUGCACCUGUUGCAACUUGGCCGAAAUUCUAAUCGAUCCCUAUAUUCAUCACAAGGAACUUGUACAUAUAUGCAUCUAUAAAAAAGGAUUUAGCGAGAGGGCGGAUUAAACAUUGCAAAAUCAAGGAAGUGAUAUAUUUGCUUGUUAUUUUCUUUUUUUUUUUUUCUGUAACUAAAAAAAAAGAAAGAAAUUAAACCAUGUAACAUAGAGGAAGUGUAAAUUAGAGCACUUGCGUGCAGACUUACCGUAGAGGGAUGGAUUUUGGAUGAUGUGAAGAAAGUAGUCAUAGAGCUGAGCCACUUUAAGCUGGAUCCCUGGCAAUGUAGCCCCCAGCUCUUCACACAUUGCCUGUACCUUCGUAUUGAAGUCCCUAGCUACCUUGUUGUAGUCCUGCACGCAUUCAAGCAUGAAGUUUCUGCUCCGCUCCAUCGGCAGACACCCCAUCGCUGACAUGCCAGUGAAACCGAUCUUCCGAGCUCCCAAGUUGUAGAUUUCUAUGAUGAACUCGCGCGUGAGUCCGACAAGGUAGUCCUCGUACUCGUCGACGGUGAAUUCGAGGAACCGGUUUGACGUGAACGCAAAGUAGUUCUCAAUGAAGUCGUUUGUUGCGAUGCUGAUGGCGUACACUGCUUCGCUUAUUGUUUCCUUGGCACGGUCAACUCCGAGAUAGCUUACCAAUCUGGUUUGGUACUCUUUGAAGAACUCAACUUGCUUCCACAAGGGUAUCACACUCUUGAACCAAUGAAAUCAGAAAACAGAAAUCAAAUCUCUCUCCAUUCAAAAUUAAUAGAUACCUGAAAUUAGAUCUAAACUAUAUAGCUUUUUGGGUCUUCCAAAAACCCAAAAAAAAAAAAAGGAAAAGAAGACGAAGAAAAACUAUAGGCCUUCUUUUGCAUUGCUGAUAAUUUUUUUGUUUUCUUACUGAUAAUUUUUUGUUUUCUUAAACAUUAAUUUUAUAUAUUUUAAUAUACCGGUGAAAGAACUUUUCUUCUUUAUUUUUACAGAAAAUUUUUCUCUUGUUAUCAUCAUUGGUUAAUUUGGAAGACAUACAUGAAACACAACUUAUUUUGUAAAAUAUUUUGGAAGCCAAAAAAAAAGUUUUCAACUUUCCACCAAUGAUUUGAAAAUCGUAUUGAACUGGUUGGUUCAAUUGGUGUGAUCGUGACUGUAACGCCCCAAUAGUCCCACAUCGGAUGGAUACUGAUUCCGAUCAGUUUAAUUAUAUGAGGCUUACACGCUAGUAAUAAUAACUAUGUUUAAGCAUUUUGGGCCAGUGGUUUAGGCCUAACGUGUAGCGCACUGGACCUUUGCAAAUUGCGAGGUUCGAGUGGUUGGUUAUGUGCUGAGCAAUUCCAGAAUUUCUGGUGGGUCGUUAACAGUGUUCCGACCUAUGGCUCGCAUCCCGAGAAGUGAGGUUUAAAGCCUAGCACAAAAAUCCGAAAAAUCGAAUUUUUGGUUAGCUCUCAAGUAGCCUUCAUCAGGCUGUGUACCGGUACAGAGUUGAUGGCUGUACCGAUACAGGGUUGAUGGUUGUACCGGUACGGGAUGGCGUACCGGUACACAGGCAGUUUUCCAGCAAACCCGACGCUCGGGUUUGGCUAUUUAGCAGGAUGUGUACCGGUACGCGGGCCCGUGUACCGGUACGCAGUGACAGAAUCUGAAUGUUUGAUUUUGCAGGGGUGUUUUUGCAAUUGUGGGCUUCUUAUAUCAGCACCCACGCCCCCUAGGGCUUCUUUGAGCUCACCACUGCAGGGAGAAAGGUAAGGGGACCCUCUCCACCCUUCCACUUAAAUUUGAUCUCCAUUUUGCAUGAUUUUUGAUGGAUUUUCCCUCUCUUUUGCCCUUUGGUGCCAUUUCCACCAUGGAUGAAGCUUGAAGCUUGGAUUUGAGGCUUUGUUGAGGGGAGAUCUUAGCAUUUAGAGAGUUUAGAGCUUGGAUUGAAGCUUCUAAAAGGUAAUCUAUUUAUUCUCUCCCUCUAGAUUGGAUUUUUAUUGGUGGUUUUGAGAUGAAACCCUAGAAUGAGGUUUUAGGGCUUAUUUUGGGCAUUUUGAAUCUAGGGCUUUUGGAGCUAAAUUGUUGGGAUUAGAACCCUCCUUUGGGUUGGAUUUGAAGGAUUCUAGCCUUCUUUUGGAGCUUGUGAGAGUUUUCCUCCACCCUAGGUGAGUUUUGGCCCUUUUUGUUUCUAGGUUAAUGUUUGACCUUAUAGUUGAUCGUAAUGCCCGUGUAUCUCUUCGCUCAAUACUUUUAGGGUAUUUUGAGGCUCGUGGACAACUUCGUUCGGCGAAACGAGGCACUACGCGAUGGUUCGGUGGGUUUGACCUAGCCACACAAUGAGAAAUUCUCAUUUGUGAUGAUUUGGGUAUCGUUAAUUGAAAAAGCAUGCAUAAUCAUGUUAGAUAUAUUUNGAAGCAGUUUUACAAACAAAAUAGUUUCAGAAUAAUCGCUCUCCAUUUAAACUCAACCAAAUGCUCUAUAAUUUUUAACGAAAAUCAAUUCUCCAAAUCAAAUCAAUUAGGCAAAAAAAAAACUUUUUUACAGUCUAGCUAGGUCAAAUGAGCCUAAAAUCAAUUAUAUAAAAAUUACUUCUCGAA
rnacentral:lncRNA from 1 species